UCAGAAUAAAAAUAUCAUAUUCACAUUUGUACAAUAAUAACAUUAUCAUAAAUAACACAACUUGAAUACCGGAUAAACUGCAAUUAAAGAGGCGAAAUAUAUCAUAGUAUUUAAUAUGCGUCGGGUCAGUAUACGGGUAUUUAAAAAAGCUAAACCUGUUCAUGUGCGAUCUGCGCAGUGUCUUAACAAGACUAUAGGAGUAAAGUUGUUAUAACAACAUAAAUAUAAUAUUGAAGAGAUAAAAUUAUGUCACUACAAAAAUGUUUGUUAGGUUUACUGAUAAUCGCCUUUAUUCUUCUAUUGGAGGAGGGGGUAUACGCUCAAGUCAUCGUCCCAAGUAAAUGUCGAGAAGGAUACACACUUGUAAAAAUAGGUAAUGUCGUAAGCUGCAUCCCAAAAGCCACGAAAGCAUAACAAAAACAAUUUUACUAUUUUUUUGCUGGUUAAACAACUAUGCACUAACGAUAUUGUUAAAAUAUAGUCAAAUGUAAUAGUAAA